GAUGAAGAACGUAGCGAAAUGCGAUAAGUAAUGUGAAUUGCAGAAUUCAGUGAAUCAUCGAAUCUUUGAACGCACAUUGCGCCCCUUGGUAUUCCGAGGGGCAUGCCUGUUCGAGCGUCAUUAUAACCCCUCAAGCUCAGCUUGGUGUUGGGGCCUGCUGCACUGGCAGCCCUUAAAAUCAGUGGCGGCGCCAUCUGGCUCUAAGCGUAGUAAUUCUUCUCGCUAUGGAGUCCUGGUGGAUGCUUGCCAUCAACCCCCAAUUUUUCUAUGGUUGACCUCGGAUCAGGUAGGGAUACCCGUUGAACUUAAGCAUAUCAAUAAGCGGAGGA
rnacentral:misc_RNA from 1 species